ACUCAAAUGAAUAGACGGGGACCCGCACAAGCGGUGGAUUAUGUGGAUUAAUUCGAUGCAACGCGAAAAACCUUACCUACCCUUGACAUGUAGCGAACCCGGUGGAGACAUCGGGGUGCCCGAAAGGGAACGCUAACACAGGUGCUGCAUGGCUGUCGUCAGCUCGUGUCGUGAGAUGUUGGGUUAAGUCCCGCAACGAGCGCAACCCUUGCCAUUAGUUGCGACAUUUAGUUGAGCACUCUAAUGGGACUGCCGGUGACAAACCGGAGGAAGGUGGGGAUGACGUCAAGUCCUCAUGGCCCUUAUGGGUAGGGCCUCACACGUAAUACAAUGGCGCAUACAGAGGGCUGCGAAGGAGCGAUCCGGAGCCAAUCCCUAUAAAGUGCGUCGUAGUCCGGAUCGGAGUCUGCAACUCGACUCCGUGAAGUCGGAAUCGCUAGUAAUCGCGGAUCAGCAUGUCGCGGUGAAUACGUUCCCGGGUCUUGCACACACCGCCCGU
rnacentral:rRNA from 1 species